CCACCGCGGUUAUACGAAAGACCCUAGUUGAUAGCCACGGCGUAAAGGGUGGUUAAGGAAAAAUAACAAAUAAAGCUAAAGACCUUCUAAGUCGUCAUACGCAUUCCGAAGACACGAGGCCCAAACACGAAAGUAGCUUUAAACAAGACUUACCUGACUCCACGAAAGCUAAGAAACAAACUGGGAUUAGAUACCCCACUAUGCUUAGCCCUAAACCUAGACAUAUCUUUACAUAUAUGUCCGCCCGGGUACUACGAGCUACAGCUUAAAACCCAAAGGACUUGGCGGUGUCUCAGACCCACCUAGAGGAGCCUGUUCUAGAACCGAUAACCCCCGUUAAACCUCACCCCUUCUUGUUUUUCCGCCUAUAUACCGCCGUCGUCAGCUUACCCUGUGAAGGCCUAAUAGUAAGCAAAAUGGGUCCACCCAAAAACGUCAGGUCGAGGUGUAGCGCACGAAGGGGGAAGAAAUGGGCUACAUUUUCUAAAUAACAGAAUACUACGAAUGAGCACUCUGAAAUAUAGUGCCUGAAGGUGGAUUUAGUAGUAAAAAGCAAAUAGAGAGUCCUUUUGAAUUAGGCUCUGAGACGCGCACACACCGCCCGUCACUCUCCCCUUAUGCUAACAAAACUAAUAUUCAUAAUACCUUACUUAACAAUAAGGGGAGGCAAGUCGUAACAUG
rnacentral:rRNA from 1 species